rnacentral:rRNA from 1 species
ACGAACGCUGGCGGCAUGGAUUAGGCAUGCAAGUCGAACGGUUUAACAGGGGCAACUCUGUUAAGCAGUGGCGAAAGGGUGAGGAACACGUGAGUAACCUACCCUCAAGUUGGGAAUAGCUCCGGGAAACUGGAAUUAAUACCGAAUGUGAAUGUUUUUCCGCAUGGGAAGACAUUUAAAGAUUCAUCGCUUGAGGAUGGGCUCGCGUCCCAUUAGCUAGUUGGCAGGGUAACGGCCUACCAAGGCAAAGAUGGGUAGCUGGUCUGAGAGGAUGGUCAGCCACACUGGAACUGAGACACUGUCCAGACUCCUACGGGAGGCUGCAGUCGAGAAUCUUCGGCAAUGCGCGAAAGCGUGACCGAGCGAUGCCGCGUGCAGGAUGACGAGCUUCGGUUUGUAAACUGCUGUCACCGGGGACGAAUUUUGACGGUACCCGGAGAGGAAGCCACGGCUAACUACGU